rnacentral:rRNA from 1 species
CCUCGAUGUCGGCUCAUCACAUCCUGGGGCUGAAGUAGGUCCCAAGGGUAUGGCUGUUCGCCAUUUAAAGUGGUACGCGAGCUGGGUUUAGAACGUCGUGAGACAGUUCGGUCCCUAUCUGCCGUGGGCGCUGGAGAACUGAGGGGGGCUGCUCCUAGUACGAGAGGACCGGAGUGGACGCAUCACUGGUGUUCGGGUUGUCAUGCCAAUGGCACUGCCCGGUAGCUAAAUGCGGAAGAGAUAAGUGCUGAAAGCAUCUAAGCACGAAACUUGCCCCGAGAUGAGUUCUCCCUGACCCUUUAAGGGUCCUGAAGGAACGUUGAAGACGACGACGUUGAUAGGCCGGGUGUGUAAGCGCAGCGAUGCGUUGAGCUAACCGGUACUAAUGAACCGUGAGGCUUAACCUUACAACGCCGAAGGUGUUU